rnacentral:misc_RNA from 1 species
GAUGAAGAACGUAGCGAAAUGCGAUACUUGGUGUGAAUUGCAGAAUCCCGUGAACCAUCGAGUCUUUGAACGCAAGUUGCGCCCGAAGCCAUUAGGCCGAGGGCACGCCUGCCUGGGCGUCACACGUCGUUGCCCCCCCAUCUACUCCUUCGGGAUUGCGGGGGGCGGAUGAUGGCCUCCCGUGCGCCUUGUCGCGCGGUUGGCAUAAAUGCCAAGUCCUCGGCGACGCACGCCACGACAAUCGGUGGUUGCGAAACCUCGGUUGCCCGUCGUGUGCGGUCGUCGCGCAUCGAGGGCUCGAAAAUAUUGUCGGGCUCCGGCUCGGCUUUCAACGCGACCCCAGGUCAGGCGGGGUUACCCGCUGAAUUUAAGCAUAUCAAUAAGCGGAGGA